GAUUUCUGACUUGAUGCACCUGUCCCGCUACGGUAACGUAUGUGAGUGACGGAGUGUGUCGGUCAUCCUUCUAGACAAGGUUCGCUGCCCUUUACUGGGUGGCGAGUCCCAUCUAGAUCGUUUACUUUGAAAAAAUUAGAGUGUUUCAAGCAGGCUUUAUGCUAUGAAUACAUUAGCAUGGAAUAAUGAGUUAGGACUUCGGUUCUAUUUUGUUGGUUUCUAGGGCUGAAGUAAUGAUUGAUAGGGAUAGUUGGGGGUGCUAGUAUUCAGUGGCCAGAGGUGAAAUUCUUGGAUUCACUGAAGACUAACUUAUGCGAAAGCAUU
rnacentral:rRNA from 1 species